AAAGUUACUUCGGUACAUCGGUGACAGGUGGUGCAUGGUUGUCGUCAGCUCGUGUCGUGAGAUGUUGGGUUAAGUCCCGCAACGAGCGCAACCCUCGACCUUAGUUGCCAGCAUUCAGUUGGGCACUCUAAGGUGACUGCCGGCUAAAAGUCGGAGGAAGGUGGGGAUGACGUCAAAUCAUCAUGCCCCUUAUGACCUGGGCUACACACGUGCUACAAUGGGCGGUACAAAGGGUCGCGAACCCGCGAGGGAGAGCCAAUCCCAAAAAGCCGCUCUCAGUUCGGAUUGCAGGCUGCAACUCGCCUGCAUGAAGCCGGAAUCGCUAGUAAUCGCGGAUCAGCACGCCGCGGUGAAUACGUUCCCGGGCCUU
rnacentral:rRNA from 1 species